rnacentral:rRNA from 1 species
AGUGAACGCUGGCGGUAGGCCUAACACAUGCAAGUCGAACGGCAGCACAGUAAGAGCUUGCUCUUACGGGUGGCGAGUGGCGGACGGGUGAGGAAUACAUCGGAAUCUACUUUUUCGUGGGGGAUAACGUAGGGAAACUUACGCUAAUACCGCAUACGUCCUACGGGUGAAAGCAGGGGAUCUUCGGACCUUGCGCGAUUGAAUGAGCCGAUGUCGGAUUAGCUAGUUGGCGGGGUAAAGGCCCACCAAGGCGACGAUCCGUAGCUGGUCUGAGAGGAUGAUCAGCCACACUGGAACUGAGACACGGUCCAGACUCCUACGGGAGGCAGCAGUGGGGAAUAUUGGACAAUGGGCGCAAGCCUGAUCCAGCCAUGCCGCGUGGGUGAAGAAGGCCUUCGGGUUGUAAAGCCCUUUUGUUGGGAAAGAAAAGCAGCAGGUUAAUACCCCGCUGUUCUGACGGUACCCAAAGAAUAAGCACCGGCUAACUUCGUG